rnacentral:rRNA from 1 species
ACGUAGUGACCUGCGGAGGAUCAUUG